rnacentral:snRNA from 1 species
AUACUGACCUGGCAGGGGAGUUACCAUGAUCAUGAAGGUGGUUUUCCCAGGGUGAGGCUUAUCCAUUGCACUCUGGACAUGCUGACCCCUGAGAGAUUUCCCCAAAUGUGAGAAACUCAACUGCAUAAUUUGUGGUAGUGGGGGAUUGCAUUCGCGCUCUCCCCUG